UGAUUUUAUACAUGCAGAAUCUGACCACUUCCCACCAUCUUCAAGACAAUAACCUUUGCCUAAGUCCCAUCGUCUCUCUCACCUGCAUCCUUGUGACAGCCUCACAUUGGUCUCCCUGCUGCUACCCUUCCUCCUUCCCAUCUCUUCUCCAGCCAGAGAGGCCCUUCAAAAAUGUAAAUCAGGGCUUCCCUGGUGGGACAGUGGUUAAGAAUCCGCCUGACAAUGCAGGGAACACAGGUUCGAGCCCUGCUUGGGAAAGAUCCCACAUGCUGCGUAGCAACCAAGCCCAUGUGCCACGACUACUGAGCCUGUGCUCUAGAGCCUGCGAGCCACAACUACUGAGCCCUGGUGCCACAACUACCGAAGCCUGCGUGCCUAGAGCCCGUGCUCCGCAAUGAGAAGCCCGCGCACUGCAAUGAACAACAGCUCCCGCUCGCCGCAAAUAGAGAAAGCCCGCGUGCAGCAACGAACGCCCAAUGCAGCCAAAAGAAAAAAAAAAUUAACCAAAACUUCAAAAAAAAAAAAAAGUAAAUCAGACCAUGAUCCUCCUCUGUUCAGACCCAACAAGGCUUCCCAUAUCUCUCCAAAUAAAAGCCAAGUCUUGACCUUACACUGCCCUCCAGGCUGCAGGCUGGGUCACGUCACCUGCUCUCAUCUACUCUGUUCCCUGCCUUACUUCUGCCACUCCAGCCACACUGACCUCCUUGCUAUUUUUCCAACACUCACUCCAGCUUCAGAACCUUAGCACAUGCCGUUUCCUCUGCUGGGAAAGCGCUGCCUCCAGACCUCUGGAUGAGUAUGCCCCUCAGCCCUCCAUAGUAGCUCUUCAGAGAGGCCUUCCUGAGCUCAUCUAAACCAGAACUACUCCCCAUCUACACCCACCACGCCCUUUAUUUUUCUUUAAAGCACUUAAUUAACACCUCCCACAGUACAUUUGCUUAUUAUGUCUUCUACUUUAUCCGAAUGCAAAUUCCUUGAGCACAAAGACUUUGUCUGAUCCUCUGCUGAAUCCCUAGGACCUAGCACAGAGCCUGGCACGCAGUGGGUCAAUAAAAAACCUGCUGAAUGAAAGCAUGUUGAAUUAAGCAACCACCCGAGAGAACUGUAAGCUUCAUGUGGGCUUUCUGUUUCUUGGGUGAUCCCCCCUCCCUGAAAGCUCCUGGCAGUGGCAGACCCAUGGCUGCAGCCUAAUGGGGAUAAAGGUGGCUAACCAUUUCUCCAUCCGAAGCCUCCACAGCACACAGCAUAAAGUGUAUCCUGUGAACUGGAGGAGCAGAGCAUGCUGGCUAACAGCACUGACUUUUGGAAGUCAAAUCUAGGCUGACCACUACUGGCUGUGUGGUCCUGGGGAAACUGAGAAUUUUCUGAGCGUUAAUUCUGCCCUGUGGGACUUCCCUGGUGGCUCAGUGGUUAAGAAUCCUCCUGCCAAUGCAGGGGACACAGAUUUGAUCCCUGGUCCGGGGAAGAUCCCACAUGCCGCAAAGCAACUAAGCGCAUGCGCCACAACUAUUGAAGCUCGCGCACCCUAGAGCCCGCUCGCUGCAACUACUGAGCCCACGUGCUGCAACUACUGAAGCCUGCGCACCUAGAGCCUGUGCUCCUCAACAAGAGAAGCCACCACAAUUAGAAGCCUGCACACCGCAAUGAAGGUAACUCCCACUCGCUGCAACUAGAGAAAGCCCGCACACAGCAACGAAGACCCAACGUAGCCAAAAAUAAUUAAAAAAAAAAAAUUCUGCCCUGUGCGGAAGUUCCUACUUCCCAGGGCUGAGGGUGGGGACAGGAGAAUGUCCACAAAGCACUUAGCAAGCACAGUGCCUGGCGCAAAGGAGGCAUGCAACGAGAGGCAGUCAAAUUAUCAGCAGCCAUGUAUUUGCCUUUGUCUCUUUCACGUUUACAACGGGCUCUUAUACAUGCUUUAUCUGAUUGGGGCUGUUCAGCAACGCCGGCAGUUUUAUCACCAUUUUAUAGGUGAGGAAAGUGGGUCAAAGGAAUAAAGUACUCACCUACAAAACACACUGAAUCUGACUACAACUCCAGCGCCCUCACCUCCAGAGACACAAGGAUUUGGCCGGCCCAUUAGAGCCCCAGACUCUAAGGUGUGUGCCUAGUGUGGGGCAGCAAAUGCCAUCAGGCAGAAAGCCACAUGCCCCCAACCGCUGGAUGGAGGAAGGGGCUCCCACGUCCCACAGUGAGGCUCGUGAACAAGUCUGAACAGAUAAACCAUCUCUCAGAGUCCACCCAGGAUUUAAAACAUUUCCCCCAGAGGGAAAAUUCAAAUGCCCUUUCUGUACAGUUUCUCCUGCUAAGAGUUGGGUGGCAGCUCUAAGCAGCGAAUGCCACCUUUGGUGUUUGAGAUCCUUGUUGCCCUGCAGCCUCUGAUUCAGUCUGCCACGAAAGCAAAGCAUCUCUUCCCAAACGUUACCCAAGGGACACCGCUGCAUGGAGCUCUGGGCCUGGCUCUCAUCAAUCUCCUCUACCUUACCAGGAUUGACUGUGGGCUUCUGAGGGAGGCCAGAUGGUGGGGAAGUAAUCGGCAGGUCCCAGACAUGAAUUUUAGAACCACAAGGCCAAAAAAUCAGACUCUCAGGAGUCAUGGAUUUUUACAACUACAGCAUCUGAGAGACAAAGAAACUUAUGACUGUAACACCUUAAGCCUCAUGGGCUUGGCUGAGAUUAUACUGGAUGAGAUGGGCAAAAAAACCUGGGAAUCCAAUGGCUCCAAUGGGUACUGAGCAUCUUUGAUCUGGUCAGAGGCUUGUGAACACUCCCUUGUGAGAAUACAGUCUGAGGGCUCCAGCUGCAGGAGGAAGGCUGGGAGGACAGGCUUUGGAUAGCAAAGGCAAAAUUCUACAACCAGGCCCCUUGGGACAUGAGAUCAGAAGAGGAGACUUCAGAAGGAUCCUGCCAGGCCAGCAAGUCCUGGCCCUGGUGAGGUGUUAUGAAACCCUGAUGGUGCCAGGUUUGUGGCAGGCCACCAACUACCAAGAGACUGUGAGA